UGGUGGAGUGAUUUGUCUGGUUAAUUCCGUUAACGAACGAGACCUUAGCCUACUAACUAGUCAGUUCAAUCUUUAUUGACCGUGACUUCUUAGAGGGACUUUGUGUUUCAAUCACAAGGAAGUUUGAGGCAAUAACA
rnacentral:rRNA from 1 species